rnacentral:rRNA from 1 species
AGUGAACGCUGGCGGUAGGCCUAACACAUGCAAGUCGAACGGCAGCACAGUAAGAGCUUGCUCUUACGGGUGGCGAGUGGCGGACGGGUGAGGAAUACAUCGGAAUCUACUUUUUCGUGGGGGAUAACGUAGGGAAACUUACGCUAAUACCGCAUACGACCUACGGGUGAAAGCAGGGGAUCUUCGGACCUUGCGCGAUUGAAUGAGCCGAUGUCGGAUUAGCUAGUUGGCGGGGUAAAGGCCCACCAAGGCGACGAUCCGUAGCUGGUCUGAGAGGAUGAUCAGCCACACUGGAACUGAGACACGGUCCAGUCUCCUACGGGAGGCAGCAGUGGGGAAUAUUGGACAAUGGGCGCAAGCCUGAUCCAGCCAUACCGCGUGGGUGAAGAAGGCCUUCGGGUUUAAAGCCCUUUUGUUGGGAAAGAAAAGCAGCAGGUUAAUACCCCGCUGUUCUGACGGUACCCAAAGAAUAAGCACCGGCUAACUUCGUG